UACAGAGGGGGCAAGCGUUGUUCGGAAUUACUGGGCGUAAAGCGUGCGCAGGCGGCUUUGCAAGACAGAUGUGAAAUCCCCGGGCUCAACCUGGGAACUGCAUUUGUGACUGCAAGGCUAGAGUACGGUAGAGGGGGAUGGAAUUCCGCGUGUAGCAGUGAAAUGCGUAGAUAUGCGGAGGAACACCGAUGGCGAAGGCAAUCCCCUGGACCUGUACUGACGCUCAUGCACGAAAGCGUGGGGAGCAAACAGG
rnacentral:rRNA from 1 species